GGAGGACUAGGAGAAUGAUGGAGGGAGGACUAGGAGAAUGAUGGAGGGAGGAAUAGGAGAAUGAUGGAGGGAGGACUAGGAGAAUGAUGGAGGGAGGACUAGGAGAAUGAUGGAGGGAGGACUAGGAGAAUGAUGGAGGGAGGACUAGGAGAAUGAUGGAGGGAGGACUAGGAGAAUGAUGGAGGGAGAACUAGGAGAAUGAUGGAGGGAGGACUAGGAGAAUGAUGGAGGGAGGAAUAGGAGAAUGAUGGAGGGAGGACUAGGAGAAUGAUGGAGGGAGGACUAGGAGAAUGAUGGAGGGAGGACUAGGAGAAUGAUGGAGGGAUGACUAGGAGAAUGAUGGAGGGAGAACUAGGUGAUGGAGGGAGGACUAGGUGAAUGAUGGAGGGAGAACUAGGAGAAUGAUGGAGGGAGGACUAGGAGAAUGAUGGAGGGAAAACUAGGAGAAUGAUGGAGGGAAGACUAGGAGAAUGAUGGAGGGAGGACUAGGUGAAUGAUGGAGGGAGGACUAGGAGAAUGAUGGAGGGAGAACUAGGAGAAUGAUGGAGGGAGGACUAGGAGAAUGAUGGAGGGAGGACUAGGAGAAUGAUGGAGGGAGGACUAGGAGAAUGAUGGAGGGAGGACUAGGAGAAUGAUGGAGGGAGAACUAGGAGAAUGAUGGAGGGAGGACUAGGAGAAUGAUGGAGGGAGAACUAGGAGGAUGAUGGAGGGAGAACUAGGAGAAUGAUGGAGGGAGGACUAGGAGAAUGAUGGAGGGUUGACUAUGAGAAUCAUGGAGGGAGGACUAGAAGAAUGAUGGAGGGAGGACUAGGAGAAUGAUGGAGGGAGGACUAGGAGAAUGAUGGAGGGAGGACUAGGAGAAUGAUGGAGGGAGGACUAGGAGAAUGAUGGAGGGAGGACUAGGAGAAUGAUGGAUGGAGGACUAGGAGAAUGAUGGAGGGAGGACUAGGAGAAUGAUGGAGGGAGGACUAGGAGAAUGAUGGAGGGAGGACUAGGAGAAUGAUGGAGGGAGGACU
ensembl:lncRNA